UGCUGCGUUGUUGUAGGAGUUUUCCUGGAAGCAGAUGAUACCAUCCUGUACACGUGUGGCUGGGAGGCUUUAUUCACACUGAGGGGCCGAUCUGGCAGGCAGCCUUGACUCACUGGGCUACGCACAUGGACUGGAAUCUCAGACAUGGAAGCUUGCUUCUUGAGGAAAGGCAGCUUGAUGGAAUAGAUCGGGACGAGUGAGAUGUGGUCUGGGCUCCUCUGGCUGGAGAGCUUUUUAGGCACAAAGCAUUCCCCACAAGAAGAUGGAAAUAAAACAGAAUAACCGCACA
rnacentral:lncRNA from 1 species